rnacentral:tRNA from 1 species
GAAAUGUUAGUCUAACCCAAGACAGCUGAUUUCGACUCAGCAGAUUAUGAUGCACCCCAUAAUAUUUC